rnacentral:rRNA from 1 species
CCUACGGGAGGCAGCAGUGAGGAAUAUUGGUCAAUGGACGCAAGUCUGAACCAGCCAUGCCGCGUGCAGGAAGACGGCUCUAUGAGUUGUAAACUGCUUUUGUACGGGGGUAAACGCAGAUACGCGUAUCUGUCUGAAAGUAUCGUACGAAUAAGGAUCGGCUAACUCCGUGCCAGCAGCCGCGGUAAUACGGAGGAUUCAAGCGUUAUCCGGAUUUAUUGGGUUUAAAGGGUGCGUAGGCGGGUUGAUAAGUUAGUUGUGAAAUUCCGAGGCUCAACCUCGGAAUUGCAUUUGAUACUGGUCGUCUAGAGAGUAGUUGCGGUAGGCGGAAUGUAUGGUGUAGCGGUGAAAUGCUUAGAGAUCAUAAAGAACACCGAUUGCGAAGGCAGCUUACUAAGCUACUACUGACGUUGAGGCACGAAAGUGUGGGGAGCAAACAGGAUUAGAUACCCUAGUAGUC